rnacentral:rRNA from 1 species
CACGUAGGGCGCAAGCGUUGUCCGGAAUUAUUGGGCGUAAAGAGCUCGUAGGCGGUCUGUUGCGUCCGCUGUGAAAACCCGGGGCUUAACCCCUGCUUGCAGUGGAUACGGACAGACUAGAGGUAGGUAGGGGAGAAUGGAAUUCCUGUGUAGCGGUGAAAUGCGCAGAUAUCAGGAGGAACACCGAUGGCGAAGGCAGGUCUCUGGGCAUUAACUGACGCUGAGAAGCGAAAGCAUGGGGAGCGAACAGG